AGUGAACGCUGGCGGUAGGCCUAACACAUGCAAGUCGAACGGCAGCACAGAGGAGCUUGCUCCUUGGGUGGCGAGUGGCGGACGGGUGAGGAAUACAUCGGAAUCUACUCUGUCGUGGGGGAUAACGUAGGGAAACUUACGCUAAUACCGUAUACGACCUACGGGUGAAAGCAGGGGAUCUUCGGACCUUGCGCGAUUGAAUGAGCCGAUGUCGGAUUAGCUAGUUGGCGGGGUGAAGGCCCACCAAGGCGACGAUCCGUAGCUGGUCUGAGAGGAUGAUCAGCCACACUGGAACUGCGACACGGUCCAGACUCCUACGGGAGGCAGCAGUGGGGAAUAUUGGACAAUGGGCGCAAGCCUGAUCCAGCCAUACCGCGUGGGUGAAGAAGGCCUUCGGGUUGUAAAGCCCUUUUGUUGGGAAAGAAAUCCAUCUGGUUAAUACCCGGGUGGGAUGACGGUACCCAAAGAAUAAGCACCGGCUUACUUCGUGCCAGCCGCCGCAGUAA
rnacentral:rRNA from 1 species